AACUGGCCUCCUCCAAGAGUGUUCCCCUAUCUCAAAGGGGGCAGUGGCAGGUCGCCUGGAGAGAUGGCUCAACCGAGGACAAAGUUCUGUUCGCGGCACCCACAUCAGGUGGCUCAGCACCACCUGUCACUCCAGACGGUCGGUUGUCCUCCUCUGGACUUGUAGGCACCAGGCAUGCAAGUGGUACAUCCACACCUGCCGGCAAACAUUUACACGCAUAAGAUAAACCAUUUCUUUAAGAAGCGGGAGGCCAUCACGUAAACCUGGCAGAGGUCAAGGACCUGGAAAUUUUUGCAGGCCAGUCUCUAGAACCCAGAACACUUUGGUGAAGUGGGAAAAGGGAAAGAAAUAUAUCCUCCUGACAGUGUGGCAGCCGCUGAGCAGAGUUUGCUGGCUGGCGCUCUCUCUCUCUCUCUCUCUCUCUCUCUCUCUCUCUCUCUCUCUCUCUCUCUCUCAUUAAUGUUUUGUUUGUUUUUCACAAAGCUGCAAAGAUUCACUGUGGAAAAACAACAGCAGCCAAUGCAGCUCAAGGUGAAAUGAAGACAGUACUGUCCUUCAUCUGACAUUGUACAACACUUCCCUGUGCUCCCAGGCAUUUCUAACGAGAAGAAACAUUAAGUCUUUUGACCAAGAUCCAAGAGUAGCUAGGCGGUGGUGGCACACUCAUCUCAGCACUUGGAAGGCAGAGGCAGGCAGAUCUCUUGUGAGUUCGAAGCCAGGCUGGUCUACAGAGUGAGUUUGAGGACAUCCAGGGCUACAAAGAGAAACCCUGUCUCGACAAAACAGUAAAACAAAAAAGAUUCAGGGAUAGAUCUGGGUGACUUCCCACUUUUAUUUGGGGAUGGAAGUAGAAGGUGCCAUGUUCACUCCUCAUGGACUUCACAUAUUUCUCAUAUGCCUCUUCACUGUUAAUUCGUCCAACUCUAAAGGGUCACUCAUCUUUACUAGCCAAUCAUCUUCAUGACAAGAUCUUUGGACAAGCCCCGGAUUUUCUUGGAGCAUUUCAUUGGCGUCCGUCACCUCUCCUAACAGGAUAGUGAACUUGGUUCGCAGCCUUCCCCCAUUCCAAAGCACCAAACUCAGCUCUUUGUUUUUUUGUCCCACCUUGAGGCAGCCGAUACAGUAAACAACAUCUCCCAAAGUGUCGUGUGCAGCAUUGCUGACUCCCACUGUUCCAGGACCACUUUCCUUUGAUGUCCGUUCAUGUUUCUGUGAAUUGAUGAACUGACAACAUGGCAGAUGUUGUCCUUCCUCUUUUACUGCUGGGAGAAAAAGGAAGCUGCAGGAGCAAGGACUAGGACUGGGCAUGGCCCCUGCGGCCUGACACCUGAAGUGGGAAGUGCCAUUCCAGACCCAGGAGGCAGCUCAGGCCAGCAGUUAACCACAAGAUAGCCUUGGAAGAAAUAACCACUGUGUGUGUGUGGGGGGGGGGGGGAGUAUUGGGGAAUGUCAGGAGGAAUUCAAUGCUUCUUUUUAAUUAAUUAACUGGCUCUAAUUUUUUUUAAUGAUAUAUAAUUCUUACCUCACCCCACUUCUCAGAACCCAGAGUUCCCCAGACUGCUGAAUGAAGCAGGCAAGCAUAAUUGGUAGUUUAGCAACCUGGGACUCCACUUGGUUUGGGCUAUACACACACCCCUCUGCUAACAAUGUGCUUGAAAUCGGAGACAUUUACCCACACAUACAAUACAAGUGUCAGCUCCUCUCCAAAUAAUGCACCUAUCCUGCACUGAGAUGCAUGCACACCCUCUCUGAACUAUGGAAUAAGUUUCUCCUCCCCUUAACAAUCAUCAAACAUAGACAGAGUCUAUUCAAAAGUAUUCUCAGUACAUAUGCCUGAACUGGUUUAGGGUAGAUGCACAAUAAGGUAAACUUUGUCUUCAAAGUGAACUUUUAGGGAAAUCUAUUUGCCACCCUACACAUAUUUAUAAUUGGGCUUGGAUAUGAUUAAAAUCAAAUGUAUUAUGGGAUGGGGCAUGCACACUAGAGAAAUAGUUAUAUAACUUAAUCUGUCAAUCAAAGUAGAGCCAUCCAAACUAUCCCCCUUAGCAACCAAACUCCCCCUUCUCUUGAACCCUAUAAAAGAAGUCCCAAACAGUGACUGGAGCCUUUGAAGACCUUCAUUUCUGUCGCUUAUUGUCAACCCUGACUGUAUAUUCCUUUCUAAUCUGUCCCAUCAGUUUGCCUUGAAUAAAGUUUGUGUUUCUUUGCAAA